rnacentral:rRNA from 1 species
UACGGGGGGGGCAAGCGUUGUUCGGAAUUACUGGGCGUAAAGGGCUCGUAGGCGGCCAAUUAAGUCAGACGUGAAAUCCCUCGGCUUAACCGGGGAACUGCGUCUGAUACUGGAUGGCUUGAAUCCGGGAGAGGGAUGCGGAAUUCCAGGUGUAGCGGUGAAAUGCGUAGAUAUCUGGAGGAACACCGGUGGCGAAGGCGGCAUCCUGGACCGGCAUUGACGCUGAGGAGCGAAAGCCAGGGGAGCGAACGGG